rnacentral:rRNA from 1 species
CCCUUAGAUGUUCUGGGCUGCACGCGCGCUACACUGACGGAGCCAACGAGUUUCUUCCUUGGCUGAAAAGUCUGGGUAAUCUUGUUAAACUCCGUCGUGCUGGGGAUAGAGCAUUGCAAUUAUUGCUCUUUAACGAGGAAUGCCUAGUAAGCGCAUGUCAUCAGCAUGCGUUGAUUACGUCCCUGCCCUUUGUACACACCGCCCGUCGCUCCUACCGAUUGAAUGGUCCGGUGAAGCGUUCGGACCGUGGCCUUUGGACGGUUCGCCGUCUGUUGGCUGCGGGAAGUUCGUUAAACCUUAUCAUUUAGAGGAAGGAGAAGUCGUAACA